UAAUUGAAGAGUUUGAUCAUGGCUCAGAUUGAACGCUGGCGGCAGGCCUAACACAUGCAAGUCGGGCGGUAACAGGGAGAAGCUUGCUUCUCUGCUGACGAGCGGCGGACGGGUGAGUAAUGUAUGGGGAUCUGCCUGAUGGCGGGGGAUAACUACUGGAAACGGUAGCUAAUACCGCAUAAUGUCUGCGGACCAAAGCGGGGGACCUCCGGGCCUCGCGCCAUCAGAUGAACCCAUAUGGGAUUAGCUUGUAGGUAAGGUAACGGCUUACCUAGGCGACGAUCCCUAGCUGGUCUGAGAGGAUGAUCAGCCACACUGGGACUGAGACACGGCCCAGACUCCUACGGGAGGCAGCAGUGGGGAAUAUUGCACAAUGGGCGCAAGCCUGAUGCAGCCAUGCCGCGUGUAUGAAGAAGGCCUUCGGGUUGUAAAGUACUUUCAGUCGGGAGGAAGGUGGUAAGGUUAAUAACCUUA
rnacentral:rRNA from 1 species